rnacentral:lncRNA from 1 species
UCGGCCUUGGCAUCACGAACGGGUUCAGUUCGAUCUCGCACAGUGGGAAGGUCCCCGACGGUGUGUCCGUCAGUUCUACUCGCACAAGUGGACGUCAGAUCACGCAAGUGGGCAGGUUCCCAAUGGCAAGAACUUGUUCCAUUCCUGCUGCUAUCAAGCUGUUUGUUGAUAUGCUUACAAGAAAUGAAAUAUCCUUUUUGAUGUUUCUUUGUUGCCAAAGAAAAAGCUAAUAUUUAUGGAAAUAUGCAGUAUAAACAUUUGUUAUGGAGCAGCAGGUGGGCGAGGAUCUUCAUCUCGGCAGUACAACUGCACCCUCCGCCGCUGUUCACGAGAAGAGCUGCGUGCAGGCCACUCCAUGCUCUGCCCUGGAUUUUUUCAAUGAUCAGGCCACCGUCGUCAUGGUUCCUGCCCCACGACAGUCGUACUGGUUCAUGCACCAUUAUCGUCGGUCUUUUUUCGGCUGGAUAUAGGGAGCGGCCCCAGGGAGCCCCUUCAUCAGUGGUUCAUUGGUCUCUCAAGUAUGAAGGUGAGCUUCAUAAUAGAGUAGCUAGACUUAUCUGCCUUCCAUUUUACAAAUUUUGCUGGGAGCUAGAAGUAACUAUAUGGAGAAAGUUGGCAUCUCCGUUUACCUAAACAUGCAUAACGCGUGUGAUGCUACAGAAUUCUUGGGUCCUUGAGCAAAAAAAUCAUUAGUUCACGCUUCAAAAUCCUGUAAGUUUAGAUAUAUCACUAAAUAGGUUCGGAGAAAAAAAUUCUGUAAGUUUGGGGCGUGUGUGGCUACAAUUUUGAAUUUCUUGUGAAGUCAUACUAGUGCUGAUGAAUAUAGAGUUGACUGAAAAAUGUAGUUGAUUCUUGAGACCUUACUAGUCCUUCUACAUAUAGAAGUUGUGCCUGAUAGCCAUACACGACUUUUCUCUCUGUUGUGCUGCUUGCUUGUGCAAAUUUCUUAGAACUUGUUUCAGUGAUAUAUUUGCACUACUCUUUUGUUCAAACGAAAUCUCUCACCACUUUCCUUUCUAUUUGUUAAUUCUUGUAGUGCAUAAUUAAUGCAGAUGUGUUGUUUUGUCGUGAAGAUUUUGCCAGUAAACUAUGCAAAAAAGAAAUUAGAAGUACCAAAAUGUUCAACUUGCAAACUAGUGGUAGUUCUAUAAUGCAACAUGCAUCAAAUUAAAAAUAGCAACCAUGCAUUGAAGCAAGAAAUCAUGUCUGGUUUUUCCAGUUCAGUACAUGAACUAUCAUCAGUUCGUGAAAAGUACAUAUAACAAUACGACGUGUGUGUGUGUGUGCAAUGCAGUAUAUGUGUCGAUCUUUCUUUGUUGAUAUAUGUUGGUAGUUGAUCCAUACAACAUACAUGAUGAUUAUAUUUUGCAAUUAUGUCUUGCAUACAGCUUGGUUUUGUCUAUAGUAAUUUUUUGAUUGGAAACUGUGAUCUAAGUGGUUUUUCAUAUAGCUACAUCUAAUGAAGUGCAGGUCACUUCUGAUGUGCCAAUUGGUGCAUGUGUGCGUACUGUGGGCUUGUUGUGUGCGUCCGCUGGUGCAUGCAUUGGUGCGUCCUGUGGCAUGCGAGCAUGUGUGCCGAUGUUGAUAGCUAAACUAAAUGGUUUCCAAGAUCUGUGGUGCAAGGAAAAAUUCAUCAGUACUAGUGUGCCCUGUAUGCGGUAUGUCCUGCAGGCCGCAACUACAUUCCCAAUUUUCCAUGUAUGGUCCUCCUCACCAGAUGUUAUGAAGAAUACAUCUUUUUAAUACAAACUUUUUGAAAGCUUCUUUUGAACUUCUCUUGGUUAAUAUACAUAAACUUGAUUAUACUUUUAACAUGUACUUAUAUCAGCUUCGUUGGAUUUUGUGCGUGUUCUUGUAACACAAUCAGUUCAUAUCUCGAGAGACCAUAAGUUCAAAUUCACUAGUAUUUCCUCUCAAUUUUUGUUACCAGAUGUGAUGCGUAGAAAUAUCACCUCCACACCCCUUCCAUUCAUCUAUAUUUCUAUGUUUUGUAGUGAUGACAUCCAUGGUGAACAGAUAGACUUCACAAUUUGUUUCUCAGGAAAAGUCCACGUAAAUGAAUGGAGGAGGGGGUCAUGUGUGUGAAUGGACAAAGUUCACAUAAAGCUCAUGGACCUGGAGCUACAGGAUCCAGUGGAGCUUACUGACUGAAGAGUUUAUAUUCCAUGUGCUUUUUAGUUUACCUGACCUUUGGUUUUCACUUCAGUGUGUAGCAAGCUUGAGGAAAUCAAAAAAUAUUAUGUGUGCACUAUAUUGUUCUUAUCCCGAUGAGAAUUGGUCCUAAUUUUGUACAUUGUUUAUUAAACACAUAAAAAAGAAAGCUCAAGAAGAAAUCAUGUCACAUAGUUCAUG